rnacentral:rRNA from 2 species
UACGAAGGGGGCUAGCGUUGCUCGGAAUUACUGGGCGUAAAGGGCGCGUAGGCGGAUCGUUAAGUCAGAGGUGAAAUCCCGGAGCUCAACUUCGGAACUGCCUUUGAUACUGGCGAUCUUGAGUGUGAGAGAGGUAUGUGGAACUCCGAGUGUAGAGGUGAAAUUCGUAGAUAUUCGGAAGAACACCAGUGGCGAAGGCGACAUACUGGCUCAUUACUGACGCUGAGGCGCGAAAGCGUGGGGAGCAAACAGG